rnacentral:rRNA from 1 species
AGUUGCGAACGGGUGAGUAACGCGUAGGUAACCUGCCUGGUAGCGGGGGAUAACUAUUGGAAACGAUAGCUAAUACCGCAUAAUAUUAAUUAUUGCAUGAUAAUUGAUUGAAAGGUGCAAUUGCACCACUACCAGAUGGACCUGCGUUGUAUUAGCUAGUAGGUGAGGUAACGGCUCACCUAGGCGACGAUACAUAGCCGACCUGAGAGGGUGAUCGGCCACACUGGGACUGAGACACGGCCCAGACUCCUACAGGAGGCAGCAGUAGGGAAUCUUCGGCAAUGGACGAAAGUCUGACCGAGCAACGCCGCGUGAGUGAAGAAGGUUUUCGGAUCGUAAAGCUCUGUUGUAAGAGAAGAACGGGUGUGAGAGUGGAAAGUUCACACUGUGACGGUAUCUUACCAGAAAGGGACGGCUAACUACGUGCCAGCAGCCGCGGUAAUACGUAGGUCCCGAGCGUUGUCCGGAUUUAUUGGGCGUAAAGCGAGCGCAGGCGGUUAGAUAAGUCUGAAGUUAAAGGCUGUGGCUUAACCAUAGUACGCUUUGGAAACUGUUUAACUUGAGUGCAGAAGGGGAGAGUGGAAUUCCAUGUGUAGCGGUGAAAUGCGUAGAUAUAUGGAGGAACACCGGUGGCGAAAGCGGCUCUCUGGUCUGUAACUGACGCUGAGGCUCGAAAGCGUGGGGAGCGAACAGGAUUAGAUACCCUGGUAGUCCACGCCGUAAACGAUGAGUGCUAGGUGUUAGGCCCUUUCCGGGGCUUAGUGC